GCGGGCUUGGAAUCAUGAUGCUGUGGGCCCGCAUCAGCGCGUUCUAGCGAGUGAUCACGGGGAUCUCCAUACACUCGCCGGUAUAGCCGAACUGGUACGAAAGUAGGCCGUCGGGGGACACUCGCCAUUGCCCCGGCGCUCUGAAUUUAAUAAGCCCAGUUCGCUGCACGCCGUGGAGGGGUGAGACUUGUUGGAAGUCUCAGAAGGUGCAGACGCCG
rnacentral:sRNA from 12 species